rnacentral:rRNA from 1 species
AAAUUGAAGAGUUUGAUCAUGGCUCAGAUUGAACGCUGGCGGCAGGCCUAACACAUGCAAGUCGAACGGUAGCACAGAGAGCUUGCUCUCGGGUGACGAGUGGCGGACGGGUGAGUAAUGUCUGGGAAACUGCCCGAUGGAGGGGGAUAACUACUG